AUGCUCAGAGAUGCUUUUUCUUGUUCUGUUGGCAGUUUGCAGCGGCCAUGUCAAAGAGACCAUCACAAAGACAAGAGAAAUCAGGAAGAAGCGCCAAUUAGCAGGAUGCUGACUCCUUGUCUCCUAAGAAGAGUGGUCUUCCUGGUUCCUUUAAUAUUUGUAGUUGUGCUGCUCACCAUGGAGCCCAUUAAAGCCGACGAAGAAGCAGGAACAACAAUCCCAGCUGAAAGUCGCCCCUGUGUUGAUUGCCAUGCAUUUGAAUUCAUGCAGAGGGCCUUGCAGGAUUUAAAGAAGACUGCGUAUAAUCUAGACACACGGAGAUUUCUCAGGACUGCUUCAAAAACCUCCACAGUGAAUAAAGAUUCUCAGCAGUUUCCCUGAUGGGUUCUACACUGUCAUGGUGACAGAUACUACAGCAAAAAAAAAGUGGGGAUGAAUAAAAGAGAGAGAGACUGCAGAGAAGACUGAAUUCUGAAUUCUCUAAAUUCACUUGACAUUGGACAGAAACACUGCUUCUUCAAGUGGAAAAGAGAACUCUGUGUGACUGUGUAACUGCAGACACACUGAACUGAACGCUGGAGAACAGCCAAAGAGUGUCACCCAUUCAGCUGUUUUUUAAAACGCUGCUGUAUGUAAUACGGACAGCUGUGUGGACUUUGGAGUACAUACUGCAGGCAUGUAAGCCCCAGUGUAGUGAGGAAAGCAGGCGGGGAGUUUCUGUAUGAGAUGGUGGGGUGAAAUGGUCUGUCUUAUGCUUGUUUUCUCCAGUAUGAAGGUGCUACUAUUGUGGCUUGAAUGAUUGAUCAUAUCAAGACAGAGCAUUGCAUGCUGGAAUCUGUAGUCUCUGCAGGCUCUAUCUCCAUAUUAAAGGUAAUGGUAGUUGCAAUC